GAACGCUGGCGGCGUGCUUAACACAUGCAAGUCGAACGGAAAGGCCUUUUCGGAGGUACUCGAGUGGCGAACGGGUGAGUAACACGUGGGUGAUCUGCCCUGCACUCUGGGAUAAGCCUGGGAAACUGGGUCUAAUACCGGAUAGGACCGCACUUUAGUGUGUGUGGUGGAAAGUUUUUUCGGUGUAGGAUGAGCCCGCGGCCUAUCAGCUUGUUGGUGGGGUAAUGGCCUACCAAGGCGGCGACGGGUAGCCGGACUGAGAGGUUGGUCGGCCACAUUGGGACUGAGAUACGGCCCAGACUCCUACGGGAGGCAGCAGUGGGGAAUAUUGCACAAUGGGCGCAAGCCUGAUGCAGCGACGCCGCGUGGGGGAUGACGGCCUUCGGGUUGUAAACUCCUUUCGCCAGGGACGAAGCGUUUUGUGACGGUACCUGGAGAAGAAGCACCGGCUAACUACGUGCCAGCAGCCGCGGUAAUACGUAGGGUGCAAGCGUUGUCCGGAAUUACUGGGCGUAAAGAGCUCGUAGGUGGUUUGUCACGUCGUCUGUGAAAUUCCACAGCUUAACUGUGGGCGUGCAGGCGAUACGGGCUGACUUGAGUACUGUAGGGGUAACUGGAAUUCCUGGUGUAGCGGUGAAAUGCGCAGAUAUCAGGAGGAACACCGAUGGCGAAGGCAGGUUACUGGGCAGUUACUGACGCUGAGGAGCGAAAGCAUGGGUAGCAAACAGGAUUAGAUACCCUGGUAGUCCAUGCCGUAAACGGUGGGCGCUAGGUGUAGGGGCCUUUUGGGGUUUCUGUGCCGUAGCUAACGCAUUAAGGCGCCCCGCCUGGGGAGUACGGCCGCAAGGCUA
rnacentral:rRNA from 1 species